UUAGGAUGCUUUAGAACAGGUUGGACCACUGUUUUUUGGAAUGGUAUAGAUCUUUGGAUUUUCCUAUAGACUGUGAAAGUUUGCAAAGGGUAUGAAUAACUUUGGACAUGCCACAUUUUGUUUGAAUGUAAAUAAAAGCAAAUAAAUAGCGUGCAGAAGCUAGAAAAUACGGCAAGGAGCUGGCUGAAUCAAUUUGGGCCAACAUAUUGCCACUGCAGGUCAUCCUUUUGUGACCAAGCAUGGGUGGAAAAUGGAUAAAUCCAGCACGGGGCUUUCGGCAGUGGACAGGGGUCAGCAUGGGCAACCUGAAUGGUCUGUGGUUUCGCAGCCCCAUUCACAACAAACUGCGGUGCUGUGUGUCCUGACAAGUUUCUAUAAGGACCUGUGUUUACUUUUUCAGCAGUUUGACCUACAGUAGGUCGUCGGAAUUGACCUACAUGGGCCAGUCUUUGUUCCCCAAUAGCAUCAGUGAACAUUGGCCAUCCAUGACCAUGUCAUCAGUUCACCGCUUUUCCUUCCUUGGACCACUUUUAUAGUGAUCACUGCUGAACGGGAACACCCCGCAAGGGUUGCAGUUUUCGGAGAUGUCCUGAUCUAGUCGUCUAGCCAUCCCAAUUUGGCCCUUGUCAAUGUUGCUAAAAAUGUAAAUUUUUACUGCUUCUAACACAUCAACUUUGAGGACAAAAUGUUCACUUGCUGCCUAAUAAAUCCCACCCACU